UACGUAGGGGCCUAGCGUUGUCCGGAUUUAUUGGGCGUAAAGGGCGCGUAGGCGGCUCGGCACGUCCGUUGUGAAAUCGCCCGGCUCAACUGGGCGGGGUCGGCGGAUACGGCCGAGCUGGAGCAAGCUAGGGGGUAAUGGAAUUCCCGGUGUAGUGGUGGAAUGCGUAGAUAUCGGGAGGAACACCAGUGGCGAAGGCGGUUACCUGGAGCUUUGCUGACGCUGAUGCGCGAAAGCGUGGGGAGCGAUCCGG
rnacentral:rRNA from 1 species